UGGUCUGAAGGAGCAGAUGGUACUGAUAUCAACGCUGUGGCCCGCUCCCAUGACGGGAAGUUGCUGGCUUCGGCUGAUGACUUUGGCAAAGUCCACCUGUUCAGUUACCCCUGCUGUCAGCCCCGAGCCCUCAGCCACAAAUACGGCGGACACAGCAGCCACGUGACAAAUGUGGCCUUCUUGUGGGAUGACAGCGUGGCCCUGACCACGGGGGGCAAGGACACCAGUGUGCUGCAGUGGCGGGUGGUCUGAGGUGGGGAAGGAGAGUCCCAGGGACGUGGGGCCCGGGGAGAGUCAGGUGGCAGGGCUGGACUUGUAUUUUCGGGAAAUGUCUAUUGCCGAGUAGAGUAAUAUAUACCAGAGUAUGUCUAUAGCAGAGGGGGUUAUGGGGGCGGGAGGGUAGACUGACAGAAGUCUCUAUUUAUCGGGGUGGGAAAAGGGGUCACAUUGCUUUGGGGAGCCAUUAAGGUGUUUGAUUUGGAGUGUUUUUUUAAGUUUAUUCUUUUAUAUCACCCAGAAAUAAAGACACAUGCACUGACGCAGA